AUACGAAGGGUGCAAGCGUUACUCGGAAUUACUGGGCGUAAAGCGUGCGUAGGUGGUUGUUUAAGUCUGACGUGAAAGCCCUGGGCUCAACCUGGGAAUGGCGAUGGAAACUGGGCGACUAGAGUGUGGCGGAGGGUAGAGGAAUUCCUGGUGUAGCAGUGCAAUGCGUAGAGAUCAGGAGGAACAUCCGUGGCGAAGGCGACUGCCUGGGCCAACACUGACACUGAGGCACGAAAGCGUGGGGAGCAAACAGGAUUAGAUACCCUGGUAGUCCACGCCCUAAACGAUGCGAACUGGAUGUUGGGUGCAAUUUGGCACGCAGUAUCGAAGCUAACGCGUUAAGUUCGCCGCCUGGGGAGUACGGUCGCAAGACUGAAACUCAAAGGAAUUGACGGGG
rnacentral:rRNA from 1 species